rnacentral:rRNA from 1 species
UAUCUGCCCACUGAUUUUAUAAUUAAAGGGCUGCAGUAUAUUGACUGUACAAAGGUAGCAUAAUCAUUAGUCAUUUAAUUGAUGACUUGUAUGAAGGAUUGGAUGAAAUAUAAACUGUCUCUUAAUUAUUAAAUAGAAUUUAAUUUUUUAAUUAAAAAGUUAAAAUAUAUUAAAAAGACGAGAAGACCCUAUAGAUUUUUAUAAAAAAUUUAGUUAAUAUUAUUUAUGAAAAAUUAAAAUUAAAAUUAAAUUUAUUUAUUGUAUUGGGGUGAUAGAAAAAUAUAAAAAACUUUUUAUAUAUUAAAACAUUUAUAAGUGGUUAAAUGAUCCAAUAUUAUUGAUUAUAAGAAAAAAUUACCUUAGGGAUAACAGCGUAAUUUUUUUUUUUAGUUCGUAUAAGAAAAAGAGUUUGCGACCUCGAUGUUGGAUUAAGAUAAAAUUUAAAUGCAGAAG